AAAAAUAUUUCGGUUUUUUGCAAUUUGCAGUGAAUCCUUGUUGUUUUGAUAUUUUCGACAUAUUUUUUCGCCUGUUGACAAUUUGUUCAAAGACGUGGAAGCUGUACACGUUAAUUCUCGUCCGUGGAGCGUGAAAGACAACAAACAACUAUUAAAACCUCGCGAAAUGUGGGCAAAAACGAUACUUCAAGCCAGAACAAACAUCCGUAUUUAUUAGACUAUAAACAGGU
rnacentral:lncRNA from 1 species